UUUCUACUCCCUCCGUCCGAAAAUACUUGUCAUCAAAAUGGAUAAAAAGAGAUGUAUCUAAAACUAAAAUACGUCUAGAUACAUUUCCUUUUAUCCAUUUUGAUGACAAGUAUUUCCAGAUGGAGGGAGUAUUUG
rnacentral:pre_miRNA from 1 species